rnacentral:rRNA from 1 species
GAUGAACGCUAGCUACAGGCUUAACACAUGCAAGUCGAGGGGAAACGACAUUGAAGCUUGCUUCGAUGGUCGUCGACCGGCGCACGGGUGAGUAACGCGUAUCCAACCUGCCUCUGACCAAGGGAUAACCCGUCGAAAGUCGGCCUAAUACCUUAUGCAGUCGUCGGAAGUCAUCUGAUGACGACGAAAGAUUUCAUCGGUGAGAGAUGGGGAUGCGUCUGAUUAGCUUGUUGGCGGGGUAACGGCCCACCAAGGCAACGAUCAGUAGGGGUUCUGAGAGGAAGGCCCCCCACAUUGGAACUGAGACACGGUCCAAACUCCUACGGGAGGCAGCAGUGAGGAAUAUUGGUCAAUGGGCGAGAGCCUGAACCAGCCAAGUAGCGUGCAGGAUGACGGCCCUAUGGGUUGUAAACUGCUUUUAUGCGGGGAUAAAGUGAGGGACGUGUCCUUCAUUGCAGGUACCGCAUGAAUAAGGACCGGCUAAUUCCGUG